GACGAACGCUGGCGGCGUGCUUAACACAUGCAAGUCGAACGGUGAAGCGCCUUCCUUUUUGGUGGGUGUGGAUGAGUGGCGAACGGGUGAGUAACACGUGAGUAACCUGCCCCCUUCUUCUGGAUAACCGCAUGAAAGUGUGGCUAAUACGGGAUAUUCUGGGUCUGUCGCAUGAUGGGUCUGGGAAAGAUAUUGUUUCGGUGGGGGAUGGGCUCGCGGCCUAUCAGCUUGUUGGUGGGGUGAUGGCCUACCAAGGCGGUGACGGGUAGCCGGCCUGAGAGGGUGGACGGUCACACUGGGACUGAGACACGGCCCAGACUCCUACGGGAGGCAGCAGGGGGGAAUAUUGCGCAAUGGGCGCAAGCCUGAUGCAGCGACGCCGCGUGAGGGAUGGAGGCCGUCGGGUUGGGAACCUCUUUCGCCAGUGAAGCAGGCCUGCCUCGUUUGUGGGUGGGUUGACGGUAGCUGGAUAAGAAGCGCCGGCUAACUACGU
rnacentral:rRNA from 1 species